UGCCUCGUAAUUGUUUGUUUAAUCUCAAAAAGUGUCAUUUUUCAGCUCUGUAGCCCCGGGGACAGACAAGAAGGGCCUCGGGAAGAAGCAGAAGAACCAAAUGAGCAUCCAAGCCAGAUCUGCUCAAAGUGGGGGUCCCAAACCAGCAGUGGUAGAGUAGAAGACUGCUGCUCCAUCCCAUCUCAGACUCUGAGGAUCACACCCUCUGGAGGCAGAGACUGAGGCUAGCACUCUGCAUCUUCAAGAAGCUCCCUCAAAAGAUUCUCACACCCAGUGAAACUUGAGAAUCUCUGAUCUAGACCCGUGCUUGGCCCAGAUCCUUACCAGGCCAGCCUCAGUGGGAUCAGAUACUCAGCUGCUACCUGCUUAUCCACAACCAGGAAGAUUAUUUCCCAAACUGUUUCAUGUCAGGACAAAGUAACGUUUGGGGGCUCUCUGGAGUAAACAAAGCUGCUCAGAGCUGAAGGUAAAAGUAAAAGGCCCAGGAGCUGAGAGGCCCUGGGCUCCACCCAGCUGAGGAAGUCAACACCUCAGCAUAUCUGGAGCUCACUCCUGACACUGGCUCAGGAAGCUCUGCUAAGAGCUACCAGCAGGCACAGGCGGCCAGGCCCAGCUGUCCGGCACUCACGUGGGUGCUGGCUCUGACAAGCUCCGAUGAAGCCCUGGGGAGUGAUGGCCAUGGUCAGCCACAGCUCAGACAGCAGUGUGGACCUCCACAGCUCAGGACCAUCCCCACUGCAGGAGAUUAACUCAGGGUCUCCCGGCCCUGGGCAGCACACAUAGGGGAAGAAAAGUGAGAGCUCCACGUGUCCCCUACUGGACUCAAGACUUGUGCUCUCCAAGUAUCUGAACCUUCAAAGUUUAGCUGUGCACAUAGACAUCCAGAGUAAAGACGUCUGCCACCCUCCCUUGUGAUUACAUGUGGCCAUGAACGUGUGAGAAGUGAUGUCUACACCUUCCAGUUCUAGUCCUUAAAAGGAAGGGGACCCUCUUCUCCCUUCUGCUUCUGCUAGAUGUGGACCUAAGGACGUAACCAGGAAUGCUCUGGGAUCAUGAGGGCUGAACUCCCAACCCUGAGAUCAAGACCUAAGCUGAGAUCAAGAGCCGAUGCUUAACUGACUGAGCCACCAAGACACCCCUAUUUUCUCACACUUCCACAGGCUGGAAGUCCAAGAUCAAAGUAUCAAGCAGGGUUGCUUUCUUUGAAGGUUGCUCUCCUGGCCUUAUAGAUGGCCAUAUUCUUUUGGUGUUUUCACAUGGUCUUCUGUUUAUACACGUCUAGAUCCAAAUCUCUUCCUUUGAGCACACCAGUCAUACUGGAUUAGGACCCACCCUGAAGACUUCAUUUUAACUUAAUUACCUCUUUAAGGUCAUUCUGAGACACAAAAGGUUAUGACUUCAACAUACGAAUUUUUAGGGGACACCAUGCAGUGCAUAAUACUAACUAAUACAUUUUUCUUCCUGCCUUCUGUUUUCGCCUGAGUGAAUAUGCUAGGUAUCCAUGAGGGGGAGGAGAAAUGCUUAGAAGCACACAGUCUCCAGAACCAAAAAGUGAUUCUCCUAAGCUAGAGAGGCAAAGGGCAGGAAGCACAUCCUGCUCCCCAGGAGCUCCCCAACAGAUGACCAGGCAUGAGAUUCCUAUACGCUGAGCGUGAGCUCCAGGGACCCAGCAGAGCAGGCCUGAGGAGCCUCAGCAGCAUGGAGAACAGAUGGACAGCUGCCAACAGCACCACGGCUCUAUGUGAGACCUGGGACUUUGUAUUACCUUGACUCAGGAAGGGGCCAGGAUAACAAAGAGGCAUUUACCACCAAAUCAGCAGAAUUGAGGCCUAGAGCCCUUCUCUCUCAAGAAAAUAAACAAAUGCAUCAUUUCUUGCAUAUCUGAGUUAAUUAACUAAAAUCAGUGUAUCUGGGGGCACAUGGGUGGCUCGGUCAGUUAAGCAUCUAUCUUCAGCUCAGGUCAUGAUCUCUGGGAGCCUGCAUUGGAUUCCCUGC